rnacentral:rRNA from 1 species
AUGUGGACCGCAUCUUCAUCAAGCAAAAAAUUAAAGUAUUCAGCAGCAAUGGGGAGGAGACCUGAGCUGAGCAGAUCCAUGACAUGUGAUGCUGCAUAUAUAUGCCUCCAGCAGUGUGCAUUUCCUGGCCUCUCAAACAUGUAUAGGUCUCACAGCUUGAGAUUCCAUCUCCUGUACAGUACAGCCACAAGUCAGAGCCUACCCCUCUACCUACUAGCCUCCUUUCCUCUACAUACAUACAUACAUACAUACAUACAUACAUACAUACAUACAUACAUACAUACAGACAGACAGAGCAGAGCAAUUCCGGUGGAAGUUCGUUCGCCGGCGGAAGCACGCGCACCAGCCGCCCAAGCCCGAGCCGACGGCCAUCAGUAG